CAAGCCUGGCUAAUUUUUGUAUUUUUAGUAGAGAUGGGGUUUCACCAUGUUGGCCAGGCUGGUCUCCAACUCGUGAAAUAUUGUCUUAUCCCCCAUUCCCCAGAUUUUUUAGAUUACUCGUUUUUAGUGUGACUUCAGAAGAGACUGGGCAUGACACAGAUUAUUUUUUGCAGCCUUUUUGUGUAGGUGGGUGAUUGGUGUAAGGUUUGGGGAACAAAAAAGGUAAAUUUUAACAGGGGAGUUCAGUACCCCUGCUUCUAGAAUUUGACCAACAAAGUGAAAUGUACAAGUAGUUUGCUGGUUUAUUAUCAAAUCAACCUGUGUUUACUAAUGGGUAGUGUUAUGUAGUUUUGAUCUCAAUUCUCAUAACAGUUUUGUAGACUGGUUAGAAUCCCACUUUUUCUCAAGUAAUGAGCUUUCUAGGUCUGUUGUUCUGAAUCAGAUUUUGAUGCCUUUUGGUUUAGUAGGUGUCUGCUACCAGGUGAGUUAAUUUCUCUUCCUUGGGUCCUGGGUUUCCUUUUUUUUUCUGUUUCUUUCCUAACCUUCAGUGUGUAUAGGGUUACAAGUCAUGUAAGCAUAUUAUUCUUUAUAUCCUGGGAUGGUAUUUGCUUCAUUGCACUUGGUUGUGCACAGUUGAGAAUACAGUAUGGGUGUGGAACACCAGUCCAGGUGCCAGUUCAUGCUGACAGUUUUGAAAAGUAGUCUCAUUAGGAUCCAAUUAUUAAGCUUGUCUGUCAUAUACUUGAGAAACUAGUCUCUGCUUUUACUAUUUUAGUGCUUGGGAAAGUUUCUUUUUGUAGUUAAGACUAGUACUUUAAAGGUAUGUUUAGGGCCUUUGACAUAUUAGGAAUUUUGGAAACUGGAAGGAUACAAUCUUUCUACCAUGGUAUUUGUGUUGAUCCUGAAAUGUCUGAGUUUAUUAUUUUGUUUGGAGUGAGUUUAACCUGAAAUGUCAAAACCUAGAUCCGUAAUAUAGCAUCACAUCUCAAUAAAUUUGUUUGGAAGCAGUUUCUUAAUAGUGCAGUUUAUCAAUGAACUAACAUUUAAGGAUGACCCUAAACUAUUCAUAAAAUAUAUUUUUUUUAAAGUUACCUUCCCUUUUUUUUUUUUUUUUUUUUUGGAGAAAGGGUCUUGCUCUGUCACCCAAGCUGGAAUGUAGUGAUGUGAUCACAGCUCACCUUAGCCUUGACCUGGGCUCAAGCAGGCACCACCACAUCUAGCUUGUAUUUGUAUUUGUAUUUGUAUAUGUAUAUGUAUCUCACGCUGUUGUCCAGGCUGGAGUGCAGUGGUGCGAUCUUGGCUCACCACAAUCUCCAUCUCCCGGGUUCAAGCGAUUUUCCUGCCUCAGCCUCCCGAAUAUCUGAGACUACGGGUGUGUGCUACCACAUCUGGCUAAUUUUUGUAUUUUUAGUAGAGAUGGGGUUUCACUAUGUUGGCCAGGCUGGUCUCAAACUCCUGACCUCGUGAUCUGCCCGCCUCAGUCUCCCAAAGUUCUGGAAUUACAGGCGUGAGCCAUCACACCUGGCCCAGCUUAUUUAUUUUUAUUUUUUGAGACAGAAUCUCGCUGUGUCUCUCAGGCUGGAGUACAGUGGCGCAGUUUUGGCUCACUGCAAUAUUUGCCUCCCAGGUUCUAGCGAUUGUCCCGCCGCAGCCUCCCGAGUAGCUGGGAUUACACGUGCAUGCCACUACGCCUGGCUAACUUUUGUAUUUUUAGUAGAGAUGGGGUUUCACCACAUGGCUACACUGGUCUCAAAAUCCUGAGCUCAGGUGAUUUGUCCACCUCGGCCUCCCAAAGUGCUGGGAUUACAGGUGUGAGCCAUUGCACCCGGCCUAAUUUUUUUGUAGAGAUGGGGUCUCACUAUAUUGCUCCGGCUGGUCUCCAACUCCUGGGCUCAAGUGAUCUGCCUGCCUCGGCCUCCCAAAGUGCUGGAAUUACAGGCAUGAGCCACUGUGCCCAGCCUAAGAUACCUACUUUUGACAGUGUUGAGAAGGGUAUAUCUUUUCUUUAAUACUGGCCAUAUUCAAACUUAUUAAGCAUAGUUUAGGAGUCGCCUGAACAUUUCCAUGGGUAAAAUGAUUCUAACAAGAUAAAUAUUCAGUUGUGCAAAUGGAGUCCACUUGUUCUAUUAGUUGCUAACAGUUGCUUUUAAUCUGGUAAUUUGGGUUAAGGGUUGAUUAUAAGCUGGUUGGCAUUUCAAAGAGGCUUGUAGGCAUCUACAUCAGAAUCACUUAGAAUUGUUUGGGAGUGUUGCCUGGGAUUCUGUAUUUCAUAUAUCCCACAUGAUUUUUUUUUUUUUUUUUUUUUGAGACGGAGUCUCACUCUGUCGCCCAGACUGGAGUGCAGUGGCAGAGUCUCAGCUCACUGCAAUCUCUGCCUCCCGGGUUAAAGCGAUUCUCCUGCCUUAGCCUCUCGAGUAGUUGGGAUUACAGGUGCCCACCACCACGCCUGGCUAAUUUUUGUAUUUUUAGUUGAGACAAAGAGUUUCACCAUGUUGGCCAGGCUGGUCUUGAACUCCUGACCUCAGGUGAUCCUCCCGCCUUGGUCUCCUUAUGUGCUGGGAUUAUAGGCGUGAGUCACCACCCCUGGCCUCCAAGUGAUCUUAGUUACACACUAAUGUGUUAAGGACUUUAAUGUGUUAACUCUUUAAGAUAAGAUAGAGUUAAACAUGCUGUUUCCUAAGGGUUUGUUUUUACAUCUUCUGUAAAAACAAAGGCAUAUGUUUUACUAAACCACUCAGCAUUUUAAUUGUGGAUCCUAAGUCUAGCUGGAAAAAAAAAAA
rnacentral:lncRNA from 1 species